AGUCGGCCUGGGUUCGAUCCCAGAAGGUCCCGGUGGCAUUUUUCGAGACGAGAUUUGUCUGAUCACGCCUUCCGUCGGACGGGGAAGUAAAUGUUGGCCCCGGUCUAACCUAGAGGUUAGGUCGUUAGCUCAGUCCAGGUGUAGGAGUCGUCUCCCUGGGUCCUGUCUCGGUGGAGUCGCUGGUAGGCAGUUGGACUAACAAUCCAAAGGUCGUCAGUUCGAAUCCCGGGGUGGAUGGAAGCUAAGGUGUAAAAAGAGGUUUGCAAUUGCCUCAACAAUCAAGCCUUCGGACACCUAGUUUCGAGUAGGAAUCUCGCAAUCGAGAACGCCAAGGCAAUGCUGUAGAGCGAAUAAUUUGAUUUUGAUGCUGCCGUUCUACGCAUAAUUGUCCCAUGUAAUUUUUUGACGAUUUUGACUUUAUGACAUUUUUAAUUUUAGUUUGACGUAUACUUUCAGAAAAACACAUAAAAUCUAGUACUUUGUUCGGAAACUCAUUGAAAACAACGCCAAGUCUCUUUGUCCCAUCGUUGUACUUCUACGCAUAAUUGUCCCACGAAGUAUUUUCUUCCCCGGAAUCAAUAGUUUUACGAAGCAUUAUGUCGUGUUUACCUAUUGUAUAGCAAGAGGAUAACAAGUAAGAGUGAUAAACUGCUAACUGGGGCAAUUAGGGACAUAUAUGGCGAAUAGGUGGUGGUGGUAGUUGAUUUAUUUCAGGCAGCUUUAACAUGUUUGUCAUUCGCUGCCUAUGGCGAAUAGGAGCCCACGUGACAAUUAUGCGUAGAAACACAGAAAUCGAUCGAAAAAUUUCAAUCGCGUUUUUCUUAGUUGCACUUUUUCGAACAUGGGACAAUUAUGCGUAGAACGGCAGUAUGCCCACCAGAAUAAACCUUUGAAUGCCCGCCAAAAAGUCAUUUUAUUAAACUGUAGUAAUCAGUGGAUUGGGAUUUUUUUGCUGAUUUUUUUUAUUGAUAUUUUGAUUUCUUUAAACCUUUCAAUUAGUUUCUUUUCUUUCAACUUUGAGAAUUUUAGAUUUUUUAUUUUUGUUUUAUAUGUUUUAAGAUCCUAUUUUUUUGGUUUUUUAAAAUCUUUUUUUCAUUUUUAGUAUUUUCUAAAUCUAUGCUCACUAAAAGUAAAGUUUACGGAAUUUUCAACUGCUGAACAGUUCGGCAAACUAAAAAUUACCAAAUUCAUUAAAACCUCGCCAAAAUUCGGUAAUGAAGUUUUAUUAUUGGUCAUCGUUCAGCCGAUAUUCGGUAAAAUUAUGUUCAUUUUUACAGAAGGUUUUCCGAUCUCAACUUUACCGACAUUUUUAUUACCGGUUGCGAUAAAAAAUUAAAGUGUCAAUCGAAGUGAUUUUUUUUUCACUGUUGGUUUUUCAUAUUUUUUAUAUUUUUUGCAAUAUUUUAAAAUUUCGUUAUUUAUAUUAUUUUUUUUAUUAAAAUUAAUAAUUUUUUUUGCUGUUUUUUUUUUGUUUUUAUCGAGCGUGAUUUGAUGUUCUUCAUUUGACACAAGAAAUUAAAAAAUUAUCUAAGUAAAUAGUUUAAGUUGUGUUUUAAGGAACCCAAGGAUGUCAUCACAAUCAUGUGCCUUCUGUUGAUUCUAAAUGUAACGUUUAUUAUUUCUCUACACUACAAUCGACAAGUGAUUCAAUGAAUGAAAGGUUUAUGUUUUAAAAUAACUAUUUUAUUCGAAUCUGUCUCAUCAAGCUUAUCUUUCCUCGAUAUCAUGACUAAUUCACUUACAAACGACUAAAUGUGUUAUUAUUUCUGCAUCUCCAGUUGGAACAUAAACAUAGUUUACAUCUUAAACAGACGACAUCCGAGAGCUUCGAAUCUCUCAAAUACAGUUGAAUUCGCCCCUUUCUUGAGGGGCACUUCUAAUUUAGCAAAUUAUUUGUACAGGGGAUCGUUUAAUGUACGAGCGUAGGGUUGGUCAAACGUUGCAUUAUUAUUAUUUUUUAGAAGGUGGUUGAAAAAAAAAAAAAAUGGACACACUAGCAAACUUAAAUAGUUAAAAAUUAAACUCUCUUAAAAUAAAUCAAAGUCAAAAUCGAGUAA